ACCUGGGUGGCUUAGUCGGUUGAGCGCCCGACUUGGGCUCAGGUCAUGAUCUCACAGUUCGUGGGUUUGAUCCCCACAUCAGGCU
rfam:Felis catus isolate Cinnamon breed Abyssinian chromosome X, whole genome shotgun sequence.